CCUACGUGCGGCAGCAGUGGGGAAUAUUGGGCAAUGGGCGCAAGCCUGACCCAGCAACGCCGCGUGAAGGAAGAAGGCUCUCGGGUUGUAAACUUCUUUUAUCAGGGACGAAGCAAGUGACGGUUCCUGACUCAGAAGCUACGGCUAACUACUUGCCAGCCGCCGCGGUAAUACGUAGGGGGCAAGCGUUAUCUGGAUUUACUGGGUGUAAAGGGAGCGUAGACGGCGCGGCAAGUCCGGGGUGAAAGCCCAUGGCUUAACCAUGGAACUGAUCUGGAAACUGGGGGGCUUGAGUGCGGGAGGGGCAGGUGGAAGUCCUGGUGUAGCGGUGAAAUGCGUAGAUAUUAGGAGGAACACCGGCGGCGAAGGCGGCCUGCUGGACCGUAACUGACGUUGAGGCUCGAAAGCGUGGGGAGCAAACAGGAUUAGAUACCCCUGUAGUC
rnacentral:rRNA from 1 species